GCGGGUGAAAAGCCCGCUCGCCGGAAGACCAAGGGUUCCUGUCCAACGUUAAUCGGGGCAGGGUGAGUCGACCCCUAAGGCGAGGCCGAAAGGCGUAGUCGAUGGGAAACAGGUUAAUAUUCCUGUACUUGGUGUUACUGCGAAGGGGGGACGGAGAAGGCUAUGUUAGCCGGGCGACGGUUGUCCCGGUUUAAGCAUGUAGGCUGAUUGUCCAGGCAAAUCCGGAUAAUCAAGGCUGAGGUGUGAUGACGAGGCACUACGGUGCUGAAGUAACAAAUGCCCUGCUUCCAGGAAAAGCCUCUAAGCAUCAGGUAACAUUAAAUCGUACCCCAAACCGACACAGGUGGUCAGGUAGAGAAUACCAAGGCGCUUGAGAGAACUCGGGUGAAGGAACUAGGCAAAAUGGUGCCGUAACUUCGGGAGNAAGGCACGCUGGUGUGUAGGUGAAGUCCCUGCGGAUGGAGCUGAGACCAGUCGAAGAUACCAGCUGGCUGCAACUGUUUAUUAAAAACACAGCACUGUGCAAACACGAAAGUGGACGUA
rnacentral:rRNA from 1 species